rnacentral:rRNA from 1 species
UACAGAGGGUGCAAGCGUUAAUCGGAUUUACUGGGCGUAAAGCGUGCGUAGGUGGCCAAUUAAGUCAAAUGUGAAAUCCCCGAGCUUAACUUGGGAAUUGCAUUCGAUACUGGUUGGCUAGUGUAUGGGAGAGGAUGGUAGAAUUCCAGGUGUAGCGGUGAAAUGCGUAGAGAUCUGGAGGAAUACCGAUGGCGAAGGCAGCCAUCUGGCCUAAUACUGACACUGAGGUACGAAAGCGUGGGGAGCAAACAGG